rnacentral:rRNA from 1 species
CAUCGAUGAAGAACGCAGCGAAAUGCGAUAAGUAAUGUGAAUUGCAGAAUUCAGUGAAUCAUCGAAUCUUUGAACGCACCUUGCGCUCCCUGGUAUUCCGGGGAGCACGCCUGUUCGAGUGUCAUGAAACUCUCAAGCAAGAUAGAUUUAUUUCUAUCUCUGUUUGGAUAUGGACUCUGCCGCGUCAAUGCGGCUGGUCUUAAAUAUAUUAGCUGGUCCUAGUGAAGGUUUGGUUCUACUCAGCAUGAUAAUUAUCUGAUGUUGAGGACAGUCUUAGGACUGGCCAGGCUCUCUCUGGAUUGCUUCUAAUCGUCUUUGGACAAUUAAUCAAUAUCUGACCUCGAAUCAGGUGGGACUACCCGCUGAACUUAAGCAUAUCAAUAAGCGGAGGAAAAGAAACUAACAAGGAUUCCCCUAGUAACGGCGAGUGAAGCGGGAUGAGCUCAAAUUUAAAAUCUGGUAGCCUUUGGUUGCCCGAGUUGUAAUCUAGAGAAGCGUUUUCCGCGC